rnacentral:rRNA from 1 species
AUUGAACGCUGGCGGCAUGCCUUACACAUGCAAGUCGAACGGCAGCACGGGAGCAAUCCUGGUGGCGAGUGGCGAACGGGUGAGUAAUAUAUCGGAACGUGCCCAGUAGUGGGGGAUAACUGCUCGAAAGAGCAGCUAAUACCGCAUACGACCGGAGGGUGAAAGGGGGGGAUCGCAAGACCUCUCGCUAUUGGAGCGGCCGAUAUCAGAUUAGCUAGUUGGGGGGGUAAAGGCCUACCAAGGCAACGAUCUGUAGUUGGUCUGAGAGGACGACCAGCCACUCAGGGACUGCGACACGGCGCAGACUCCUGCGGGAGGGAGCAGAGGGGGAUUUUGGACAAUCGGCGCAAGCCUGAGCCAGCAAAGCCGCGUGGAGGAAGAAGGCCUUCGGGUUGUAAACUGCUUUUGUCAAGUAAGAAAUCCUCUCGGUUAAUACCCGAGGGGGGAUGACGGUACCUGAAGGUAAAGCAACGGCUAACUACGUGCCAGCAGCCGCCGCCGUAA